rnacentral:tRNA from 1 species
GCCCGGAUGGCGGAAUUGGUAGACGCGCUGGACUCAAAAUCCAGUAACAGCAAUGUUGUGUGGGUUCGAUUCCCACUCCGGGUACAA